rnacentral:rRNA from 1 species
GACGAACGCUGGCGGCGUGCCUAAUACAUGCAAGUAGAACGCUGAAGAGAGGAGCUUACUCUUCUUGGAUGAGUUGCGAACGGGUGAGUAACGCGUAGGUAACCUGCCUUGUAGCGGGGGAUAACUAUUGGAAACGAUAGCUAAUACCGCAUAACAAUGGAUGACACAUGUCAUUUAUUUGAAAGGGGCAAUUGCUCCACUACAAGAUGGACCUGCGUUGUAUUAGCUAGUAGGUGAGGUAAUGGCUCACCUAGGCGACGAUACAUAGCCGACCUGAGAGGGGGAUCCGCCACACUGGGACUGUGACACGGCCCAGACUCCUUCGGGAGGCAGCAGUAGGGAAUCUUCGGCAAUGGGGGCAACCCUGACCGAGCAACGCCGCGUGAGUGAAGAAGGUUUUCGGAUCGUAAAGCUCUGUUGUAAGUCAAGAACGGGUGUGAGAGUGGAAAGUUCACACUGUGACGGUAGCUUAACAGAAAGGGACGGCUAACUACGUG